GUCGAGGGGAAACGAUGGGAGGGCUUGCCCUCCCAGGCGUCGACCGGCGCACGGGUGAGUAACACGUAUCCAACCUGCCCUCUUCCGGGGAACAACCUUGCGAAAGUAAGACUAAUGCCCCAUGUGUCCUCAGACGGCAUCAGACGAGGACGAAAGAUUUAUCGGAAGUGGAUGGGGAUGCGCCUGAUUAGGCAGUUGGCGGGGCAACGGCCCACCAAGCCGACGAUCAGUAGGGGUUCUGAGAGGAAGGUCCCCCACAUUGGAACUGAGACACGGUCCAAACUCCUACGGGAGGCAGCAGUGAGGAAUAUUGGUCAAUGGGCGAGAGCCUGAACCAGCCAAGUAGCGUGCAGGACGACGGCCCUAUGGGUUGUAAACUGCUUU
rnacentral:rRNA from 1 species